AUUCAUUCCCCGAGGAGGUUGCCGGACAGCAGCAUGCUUCAACCCGUAUAAUCGUUUUCGACGCUCUACUCAACGAGCUCUUCAUCCACCCGUCUACCCCCUUCACCCCUCCAAUUCCACAACCCGUAAGCCAUUGCAGGAUUGCAUUCCGUCCAGUUGGUAUUAUCGUGCGGCGUGGUGCAGGAUCAUCGUCGUCGUUAAAGGUUGACAGGCACUUAUCAUUAUCCUGCAGUGGGGGAAGCAACUCCUGAUUAGGCGCAUAUUUAUUUUGGAUAUUGUCGGGGUUUGUGGAUCGAAUCAUUGCCCAGGUAGGAGGAAGGGCUGUCCUCCACUUGGAGGCUGCCUCGUUUAUUCUGGGUGGUCGUAAUGGGGAGGGUUGCUGCGGUAUCGGACGAUCAUACGCCAUAUUGCCUAUGUUCUUUGAAGAAAUGCUCGAUAGCCGGGGACUUCGAACUGAAGCGGAAACAGAGACGGGGGCGGGAACAGCUCUACCAAUGCGCAAAUGCGGACUACUGUGCUGAGAAGCGGAUGGUGCCGCAGGAUUACGGGAAAGGGAAUCGUCCGCGACGAGGAGGA
rnacentral:sRNA from 2 species